GGUCGCAUAGCUCAGAGGCAGAGCGUCUGCUUUACACGCAGCCGGUCGCAGGUUCGAUCCCUGCUGCGAUCA